CAGUCGCCACGGUAAUACGGAGGGCGCGAGCGUUACCCGGAUUUACUGGGCGUAAGGGCGUGUAGGCGGCCUGGGGCGUCCCAUGUGAAAGGCCACGGCUCAACCGUGGAGGAGCGUGGGAUACGCUCAGGCUAGAGGGUGGGAGAGGGUGGUGGAAUUUCCGGAGUAGCGGUGAAAUGCGCAGAUACCGGGAGGAACGCCGAUGGCGAAGGCAGCCACCUGGUCCACUUCUGACGCUGAGGCGCGAAAGCGUGGGGAGCAAACCGGAUUAGAUACCCCCGUAGUCCCUGUCUCUUAUACA
rnacentral:rRNA from 1 species